rnacentral:rRNA from 1 species
UACAGAGGUCUCAAGCGUUGUUCGGAUUCAUUGGGCGUAAAGGGUGCGUAGGUGGCGAGGUUAGUCUGGUGUGAAAUCUCGGAGCUCAACUCCGAAACUGCAUUGGAUACUGCCUUGCUUGAGUACUGGAGAGGAGAUUGGAAUUUACGGUGUAGCAGUGAAAUGCGUAGAUAUCGUGAGGAAGACCAGUGGCGAAGGCGAAUCUCUGGACAGUUACUGACACUGAGGCGCGAAGGCGAGGGGAGCAAACAGG